GCCAAUGUGGUAUAGUGGUAUGAGCAUAGACUAGGACUCUGGAGAUCAGGGUUCAAUUCACUGUUUGACA